AUUGAACGCUGGCGGCAGGCCUAACACAUGCAAGUCGAGCGCGCGGCGGACGGGUGAGGAAUGUCUGGGUACCUGCCUGAUGGAGGGGGAUAACUACUGGAAACGGUAGCUAAUACCGCAUACCAUCAGAUGUGCCCAGAUGGGAAUAGCUAGUAGGUGGGUUAACGGCUAACCAAGGCGACGCUCCCUAGCUGGUCUAGGAGGAUGACCAGCCACAGUGGAACUGAGACACGGUCCAGACUCCUACGGGAGGCAGCAGUGGGGCAUAUAGCACAGUGGGGGCAAUCCUGAUGCAGCCAUGCCGCGUGUGUGAAGAGGGCCUUCGGGUUGUAAAGCACUUUCAGCGGGGAGGCGUUACCCGCAGAAGAAGCACCGGCUAACUACGUGCAAGCAGCCGCGGUAAUUC
rnacentral:rRNA from 1 species